rnacentral:lncRNA from 1 species
GCCCUGAAGAUGCUGAGACAUAGAGAUGGCUGUGAUUAUCUUUUGUAAGACAGGAAAUGCAAUCUUUAGGGGUCUCUGGAAAUAGAAAGGUCAUGCAGUCUGGAACCUGUGAGCCUUUUCAAUCCCUAAGUCAUCAGAAUGUUUGUACAAGUAAUAUUUAUAGGAAUGGACACCAGCCAAACAAUAUGAAUUUAAGAAAUGUGUGUGUGUGUUCAAGUUUGCAUUUACUUUAGCUUUUUAUGGGAAAGUAGGGGAAGUAAGGAAAGAAAUCAUUUGUAUGUGAUUAAGGACAAGGUUUGGAGCUCUGCAGAUUUUUCCAGAUUAAGCUUGAAUAUAGUUAAAUUGCAUUUUUUAUUUUGAAUGAUAAAAAUAGCAUGAGUUGUUCAAACUGAUAAUGAUACAUCAUAGCUAGCUGCUUAUAUAUAGUGACAUAUUAAAAUUUUUUAUCUGGGAUUUCUUAAGCAUAGAAAUAGAUGUUGCUACCAUUGUACUGUGCAACUGUAUAACAACUCAAUUGCGAUGAGUAGAAUCAUAUUUAUCAGCAUGUGAGGCAUGAGCUAUUUUCUUCAAAUUUAUAUUUCAGUAUCUAAAAUGUUUUAAAAGGCUCAUUUUUAAUCAUUUCUCAGAUCUAUUGAAAUAGUGGUUCUCUUGGUCCUUUUAAUGUAGAGAUCUGCCAAGGCAUUGCAUAUAGAUGAAAGCAGAUAAUAUAUCUGUUUUUUUGUCUUGUUUUGUUUUACAGAGAAGUCUUGUGACAUAUAAGCUUAAGCUUUUUGACCCAGAGAUAUUUCACAUUUGCUUACUUUCAUUUUCAAAAUGAAAAGAGUUGACUAUUUAAACAUAUUAAAUAUAAAGAGUAGAGAAUCAUCACAGCAAAGAAAUUGGAUUUAUGUAUCCAUUUUAUCCUGAAACUCUGCUAUUUAUUUUAAGGCAUUUUUACCUAUCACGUUUUAAUGCAUUUAAAUUUGGUUUGUUAUAGCAUAUCCUCAGAAUUACAUGCUUGGAUAAGAAACAGUGCCUGUGUUAGACAUUCAGAUUUGGAAGGAAAUAUAUUUCAUUUUUUAAAUAUUAUACACAUUUCUGCCUCAAUAUUAGGGGACUUAGCAAAGCAUUCCAUAUUAAUAAGUAAAAAGAGAAAAAAUGUUGCAGCAUUUCUCAGCAUAAAGAUAGUCUUGUCUUCAUGAUUCUGUAGCUUGCUUAGAAUUUAAUGCCUCAUCAGGGUAAAAUGAUGUAUUAAAUACAAAUAUAUUUAUCAAAAGACUGAAAUGGAAGCCUGAAACAGUGAUUUGAUUCAGUUAAGGGGUCAGUUUCUUCUUUUUAAUUAAAAACACACUAAAAUUAUACCUACUGAUACUGGCUAUAAUUUAUAUGCUAUUCAGGUUACUUAGCCAGCUUAGAUUCUUAUGAGUAGGGAAGACUGCCAUAUUCUUAAGCUUGAUUAGUUUUGGAACGAUUUGAAUAUACCUUUUAGUUGCUACAAAACCUGUUUAAUCUGUUAGAAUUUAUUUCCAGCAUUUGCAUGUAUUAGUCACUGUGAGUACAUUCUGUUUCUUGGCAUUGCUUUGGGAUUCCUCUAGGUAUUGGUUUCACAACAUUCUGCUAGAUUUUUCAUUGUAUUUAUGACCUUUCAAAAGAACCAAACCAUACAGAUUUUUUGUUUCUUUCCCUCAGUGGUACUUAAAUGAGGAUAUCUCAAUGAUUCUGUAAGGUGAAAAAAAAUUACUCUUAGACUUAUUUCUUUUACAAAGUGGAGAAAAAUUUAUCUCUGUUGCUAUGUCAAAAUAUAUAACAUUAAAAAGUAAGGAUUGGUUAGAAUGUCAGAGGCAUUUAAAUGUGAUAUCAACCUUUUUUUAUUUCUGUGCAGCAAGAUGUCUUGACCUUUUGUAUGGUGAAAUUUAUUUUAAAUCUAUUCAGUAACAGUUGGUCAUCUUCUUUUUACAAUGGUUGCCUCUGUACCAUUUUAUACAAGGCUCCUGUAGGUAAGCUGUCUAUAAACAAUUAUUUGAGUAAUUGCUCAAUUCAGUGAACAUUGUGUGAAAGCUGAUCAUUUGUGCAAUACUGUAUUUGGUGUUGUGAGGAAUACAGAAAAGAAAAAGUUAUUUCCUGAUUUCAAGAUUAUGAGAAAAGGUAUAUAUUGAGCUAUGCUCAUAUUUUGAAUUGAGUUUUCAAAAGUGGUAUGCUAAAUCAAUUUUAAUUUAAUUUAUAGACUGGUAAAUCUCAGGAUGAAUUAUAUAUAAUUCUUUUUUUUUUCCUGAUGUAAUCCCUUGGUAUUAAAGAAGUAAAAGAUUGGGUUGAACUGUGUAGUCAAGCAUUUUAUAAUUUUGACAACUGCAUUAACUUCUUUUAUAACAAUUAAAAAAUUUUAAUCAGAGCAUCAUAAAAGGUGAAUCAAUAAAGUAACUAUGUAUGUUUAACAAGCCAGUUUUCAGUGUGAGAGUGAAGGUAGAUCUAGCCCAUUAGCAAGAGGCGGAAGCAGGAACCCUAAGAAUCAGCUCAAAAUAGGAAUGUGACCAGUCCAGUAUAAUUCCAGGCUAGGCAUAGGUCAUUAUGUUUUAUGGAAGGAGGUUUUGACUCCUAGGGAUCGAACUUUGGAAAUACAGAGUAGUAGGUUUGGGAGUGUUUGAUGUCUGCUAGGUCACUUGGGGAAUCCUUUGAAUGAAAUGGGGAGGAUAACAUUUACCUUAGGCUCUGGGAAAGGGGACUGGGAGGAGCUAGUAGGAAGUAGACCUUAACUAGCUAGCUGUUGGACAUCUAGACACUACUCUCUUCUUUUUUCACACCAGUGUGUUGGCUGAAAGUAGUGUGGAGGUAGGUAGAACAGAUGCAAAUACCUUGUUUCCCUAGAAUCCCAAACUGGGGCAUGCUGCCCAAUAGUGCCUGUUUUUUUGGAUUAGAACAACAGAAAAUUGAUUUACAAAUUCUUGUUUGAGUAAUAUGGUAGUGGAGCAUCCAGACUUCCAUGUUUACUAGGUUCAAAUCUUAGCUAUACCGCUUACCAGCUGUAGGAUCUUGGACAAGUUACUUAACCUUUCUGAAUAUCAGUUUUCUCACUUGUGAUAUAAAGAUAGUAAUGGUGCCUCAAAGAGUUGUGAAGAUCAAGUAAGUUGAUGUAUAUAAAUCUCCUGUAAGAGUACUGGUAUAUACUAAGCACAUUACUGCCAACAGUAUUACAUACAUUCUAAGAGCUAGGAUGAGCUAUUGGCAAGUGUUGGUAAUGGUCGUCAUGUAGUUUAAAUUUGAUCCCUCUCCCUCAUCCUCUUUAUCAAUAAGAAAUUCAAAAACAGGUGGUACACUGAAAUAUAGUUAUAAAAUGCAGAAAAAGAAAAACAUGCUACAUCUGAUUAAAUUCUAACAUUUGCUGACUGUAAGAAUUGUGACUUGAUGAAAAAUUUUGUGUUUAAAGUUUUUUUUGCACAUGUAUAGACUCUUUGCUUUCCUAUUUAUACCAACUACUUCAUGAUAGAAAGAUUAUUGGGCCUUUGGACAAACUUAAAAGCAAUGACAGGUCUUUUUUAGUGAUAGUUAGAAAUUAAAACUAAAGAGUAAAAAUGAAGAUUUAAAUAAAAUAAUAGAGAUUAGUUGUAUAGUUUAGGCUUAAUGAUCUGAGUUAUUUUUUAAAUUAUAAAAAAGUCCUUGACAAAAACUUCACUGGAAGUUAUACACAGCUCAUUUUAGUAAUUUUAUUUGUUCCUGAACAUUUUUAUUCUAGAUGAAUGACUAAAAUGAGAUAUAAUUACCAUACUAUGUAUGACUAGAACAAUUUAAGUUCCUACUUGGUUGAGUAUAGGUAUUUUGAAAUGCUGAUGUUUAUUUAAUGGAAGAAACGUCAUUUUCCUAAAAAUUAUCAAACUCCUAAGUACAAGUGUGGAAUUCGAUAUUUGGAUGAAAUCUAAAUCUUAAUCUUAAGUGUUACAUUUUGUGACAUUUUUGUUCUCUUCUCUUUACCAAAUUUCUCAAUGUCCAGCUAUUUCCCCAAAAUUGGCACAGGAACAGUCAAAUCUCAGCACAAUGCAAUUUGUUAAAACAAACAAAAAACCAAACAUACAAAACCCUAUAGUGCUCCAGUAAGCACAGCACUGGGCAGGGAUGUAAAGACCAAUUGGUCCCUGCCUUUAGGAAGUUGUAGGUAGAGGAUCAUAAGUAUAUUAUAACAUAAAAAUAACUGUAACAGAAUGUGGAAAGUAGUGAGUGUCAUAGAAAUUCAAAAGGGAGAUGUAAGAAGCAUAAAUUAUCCUGCUGUGAGCUCAGUGGGCAGAAUAUUUCAAGCUGAGUGGAGAGAGAAGAGGCUAAAUGGCGAGUUGGGGAAGUAUGGCAAGGUGGCAUCGAAGACUGGCCAAACUAAGGAAAAGGUCAUUUGGGGCAGAGGAAACAACAUGAGCAGAAGUUGGGAGGCAAAAACACGUCAAAUGUUUGCGUAUUACAAAAUAGUUCAUUUUGGCUUAUAGCUUAGUGGUGUGAUUCAGAUGAUCACAGGAAAGAUUUGUUGGGACCAGAUAAUGUAGAAUUUUGAAUGUUAGAUUAUGAUUUCUAAACUGAGACCAUUUCUUUGCUGAACUAGUUAUUCUUGG